AUCAGGAAUGAUCUCAUCUGCAUCAGUAGUGGGAUCAUAUAAAACGAUAGCAAAUUCAUCAGCAGGAUCGUAAAGGGGACGAGGAAUAAAAUCCACCUUCCUUUUCAUUCCCAGUGUAGGAGGUGGACGAUGUGCACACAGUUUAGAUAUAUCUUCAUGACCCUUGAUAGGUUUAGGCACAGAGAACUGUUUCUUAAUGACUGUUGAGGGAUCUCGUCGUUCAUGAUUUAGUAUUAAUCGAUUAGCUUCUUUGAUGGUUGCCAACCCAGACACAUUUUCAGAUACGUAAGCUGAAUCAUACUUCCCAUCAACAGAACCAUAUUCGCUGUAGUUA